AAAGAUACACAACUGCGAGCUUCGAUUAAUCCUUCUGAGCGUUUGUCAGUAACUUUACGCUUUCUUGCAACAGGCUAAUAAACAAGACGAUGAAAAUUGGUGGUUGACAUUUACUAUGUUUUAAAAUUUUAGCUAUAAUAUUCAAACAAAAUGUUUUCUUGCAUAUUAAACACGCCAUUUCAAUACUUUUAUGAAAUAUAUUAUAAAAUG